GGUGAACGCUGGCGGCGUGCUUAAGACAUGCAAGUCGAACGGGCUCUUCGGAGCCAGUGGCGCACGGGUGAGUAACGCGUAACGGACCUACCCCAAAGUCGCGGAUAACGAUUCGAAAGAAUCGCUAAUACGUGAUGGGCUGUCAGAUCCUGUUCUGCCAGUAAAGAUUUAUUGCUUUGGGAUGGGGUUGCGUUCCAUCAGCUAGUUGGUGGGGUAAAGGCCCACUAAGGCGACGCCGGAUCGCCGGCCUGAGAGGGUGGCCGGCCACAGGGGCACUGAGACCCGCGUCCCGCUCCUGCGGGGGGCAGCCGUUAGGAAUCUUCCACAAUGGGCGACAGCCUGAUGGGGCGACGCAGCGUGAGGGAUGAGGGUCUUCGGGUCGUAAGCCUCUGACUCAGGGACGAAAGACGCGACAGCGGGAUGCCGGUACCUGAGUAAUAGCACCGGCUAACUCCGUG
rnacentral:rRNA from 1 species